rnacentral:rRNA from 1 species
AUUGAACGCUGGCGGCAGGCUUAACACAUGCAAGUCGAGCGGGGUGAUGGUGCUUGCACUAUCACUUAGCGGCGGACGGGUGAGUAAUGCUUAGGAAUCUGCCUAUUAGUGGGGGACAACAUCUCGAGAGGGAUGCUAAUACCGCAUACGUCCUACGGGAGAAAGCAGGGGAUCACUUGUGACCUUGCGCUAAUAGAUGAGCCUAAGUCGGAUUAGCUAGUUGGUGGGGUAAAGGCCUACCAAGGCGACGAUCUGUAGCGGGUCUGAGAGGAUGAUCCGCCACACUGGGACUGAGACACGGCCCAGACUCUUACGGGAGGCAGCAGUGGGGAAUAUUGGACAAUGGGGGGAACCCUGAUCCAGCCAUGCCGCGUGUGUGAAGAAGGCCUUAUGGUUGUAAAGCACUUUAAGCGAGGAGGAGGCUCUUUUGGUUAAUACCCAAGAUGAGUGGACGUUACUCGCAGAAUAAGCACCGGCUAACUCUGUGCCAGCAGCCGCCGUAA